rnacentral:lncRNA from 1 species
AUUCUAAUUCCCUUAAUCUUACCAAUUAUUAUCACCUUAGCCAACUCCUGCAAAAAAGAUUCAUACCCAUACUAUGUAAAAAUAUCUAUUGUGUGCGCCUUCAUCGUUAGCCUCAUCCCUGCGGCAAUAUUUAUAUAUACAGACCAACAAGUAAUUAUCUCAAACUGACGUUGAAUAACAAUCCAAACUCUUAAACUCUCACUAAGCUUCAAACUAGAUUACUUCUCCACAAUAUUUCUCCCAGUAGCACUAUUUGUUACUUGAUCUAUUGUAGAAUUCUCAAUAUGAUAAACUCAGACCCUAACAUUAAUCAAUUUUUCAAAUACCUACUCAUUUUCCUCAUCACAAUAUUAAUUCUAGUUACUGCCAAUAACCUCUUUCAACUUUUUAUCGGAUGAUAAGCUAUAGGAAUCUUGUCCUUCUUAUUAAUUGGCUGAUGAUACGGCCAAGGAGAUGCUAAUACAGCAACCCUCCAAGCGGUUCUGUAUAAUCAUAUCGGUGACAUUGGCUUCAUUUUAGCUCUAGCAUGAUUCCUCUUGUCCUCCCACACAUGGGAGCUUCAACAGGCAUUUAUUAUAGAUUCUGCCUCCAAUUCUCUUCCGUUAAUUAGUCUUCUCCUAGCAGCAGUAGGAAAGUCAGCUCAAUUCGGCCUUCAUCCCUGACUUCCUUCCACCAUGGAAGUCCCAACCCCACUGUCAGCCCUAAUCCACUCCAGCACUAUAGUAUAGCAGGAGUUUCCCUACUCAUCCGCUUCUACCCUUUAAUAGAAAAUAAACUAUUAGUGCAAACCUUCACAUUAUGCUUAGGGGCUAUGACCACCUUAUUUACAGCAAUCUGUGCUCCAACACAAAAUGGCAUCAAAAAAAUCGUAGCGUUCUCCACCUCAAGCCAACUAGGCCUUAUAAUAGUCACAAUUGGCAUUAAUCAACCAUACCUAGCAUUUCUUCACAUCUGCACCCAUGCCUUUUUUUUAAAGCUGUAUUAUUUAUAUGUUCAGGAUCCAUGAUCCAUAACCUCAAUGAUGAACAAGACAUCCAAAAAACAGGAGAUCUAUUCAAGACUUUACUCCUCACUUCCUCCUCCCUAAUUAUUGGUAGCCUCACACUUACAGGUAUGCUUUUCCUCACAGGCUUUUAUUCUAAAGAUCUUAUUAUCAAAACCGCAAACACAUCAUAUACCAACGGCUGAGCCCUCUGUAUUACUCUUAUUGCAAACUCCCUAGCAGCUGUCUAUAGUAUCCGAAUUAAUUUUCUUCGCUCUGAUAGGACAACCCCGCUUUACAAACCUGAUCAUUAGUAACGAAAAUAACCCCUUCCUAAUUAACUCAGUUAAAUGCCUGAUAAUUGGCAGUAUCUUCGCUGGGUUCCUUAUCACCAACAGUAUUAUUACUACUUCAUUCCCCCAGACAAUUUUACCGCAUCACCUAAGACUUACAGCACUAGAUGUAACU